rnacentral:tRNA from 1 species
GGGCAGGUAGCUCAGUCGGUACGAGCGUCCGCCUGAAAAGUGGAAGGUCGGCGGUUCGACCCCGCCCCUGCCCACAA